AAUCAAUAUUCGUCCUGGAGUUUAGUGUAUCAUAAACGUGUCCCUAGUGGCACAGCAGCUUCCUGGCUCCUGUGUGCCCCGAUGGCCGCCCGCUCCACCCCGAUAUGCCCAUCUAAGGCCGUGGGAGGAGGAACAUCGGCCCUUGUGUCUGCUAGGGCUUCUCGUGGAGGUAAAACCCACUCAAACUGCCCACCGCCUUGUGGUAGAGUGGGGUGGCUCUCUCAUUCUUUCAGAGGUGCAUGAAUUCAACAAACAAUUCCCACGCUUCUGUGCCCAGACACAGGGCCAGGCUUCACCGACACGGCAUGGAACAGACGGCCACUUAAUGCACGGAGUCUCCAGUUCAGUGUGGAGAUGGAUGCUGAACAGAUGCCCAAACAGAGACCCGCCCACUGUCCAGCCUGUGCCUUGGCUGUCCCAGGUGGGCAGCACACCGAGGCCGGUGCAGCGUGGGUGACCCGGGCCACGGGUGCCCGUCGCAGGGGCUGCGGCAUGACAGGCGCAGGCACCACACCCUACGCUGCAGAGACACACAAAGCCUGGGAUCGAGUCCUGCUCGUCCUUCAUCAGGGUUACAUCCUGGAGCAAGUCUUAACAUCUUGGAGCCUCAGCUUUGUCACGGUCACCCGAUCCCUACUGGCACUGAAAUGAGACCCCGUUGUGCACAGAGAGGUGAGGGGACGUGCCCAGGGUGGCACUGCAGUGAUGUGGAGUGACCACUGCUGUCCCACUGCCUCCCAGGUGAUUUCAAACCCAGAGGCACGGGUGCCCCCUCCCCCGCCCAAAUCCUCGGCGGCCUCAAGGGUUGCUCUGUGUGCAGAGGGAGCGGUGUUGGGGAGGGUGGAGGGAGGCGGCCCGGACGUCCCCCGCAGCUGUACGGCUAGCUUGGCUUUCUAAACACAACAAGGCUGCACCUCCCCACUGAGCUACAAGCCCGCAGGUGGCUUCAUGAACAUGUGGUUUCUGGAUGUGACAUGAAAGUUAGCAUUUGCACGCUCUCUGUCUGGGUUCCCUGGGUUUGUUUUUCUUGCUCUUACGGUCCUGAAAUAUUCCCAUCGUGUUUAUGUUGAGGCAGGACAUGCAGAAGCCGGCCGCUGCUGUACCAGGGUCUGCUGGGCCCGGCCUCCACCACUCUUCCAGAAAGCACCAGACAAGCACGGAGCCACCGCAGGGCUGUCGGGCCUCAGGGCACCCACCCGCCACCUCGCUCUUGCAGGCACCACCUGCAUCACAGCCCCUCCUGGGGCGCCUCUGUCCAUUGGGGAUGUCUGUUUCUGGGGGGCCGCGUGUGAGUGACUUCUGAGCCAUGCUGCAGCUGGGGAGUGGAAUUAUUCCCACAUUGCAGAUGAGAAAACUGAGGCUUAGGAGUGACUUGUUUGCCCAGGGUCACACGGACGGUACCAGAUAAAGCGGGGUUGACAAUCAUCACCAUUUCUGUCCUGAUCUUCCUGUUUGCGCCCCCCCCCCCGCCAGUGAUGCCUCUGUUUCUCACUGAUGUCCCGGAGCUCCCAGAGCCUCCCCUGACAAGGCCCGCUGUGGCCCAUCUGGGCCUCCCUUUGGCUUGGAUUAUAUGCCACCUAAGCGCCCGUCUCCUGCUCUCCGGCACUGCUUUUGAACUGGCCACCUCUUGCUUGCCUGUCGGGAUGGUGGACGCCAGGAGGGCAGGAACCAGGGGACUGGCCCGGGACAGCCACGCAGCUGACCCGCAACCACGCUGUUGAAUGAUGACUUGGUUUAUUCCCCGAGGCUGGGUCUCACGUGUCUGGCCACAGGAGGCUGGAGCUCAACCCCCGCCCCCCGCCCCCAGGUCCUUGGCUGGCCAGCAUUUCAAAUGAUAUUGUUUCAUAUUAAAUUAUUUGAAAUU